rnacentral:lncRNA from 1 species
CCCUCCGUCUCCUUGACUCUGGGUGGGCUGUGUGACUUUUCCUUGCUCAAUAGAAUGAGAAGGAGGUGGCGCACCGGCUACAAGGCUAGACCGGGGGCUCGCAUAUCUCCACUUGCAGCUGCCACUGCCAUUAGAAGAACUUGCUCAGCCAGCUCCUGGGCCCCAGGAAAAGGACAAGUGUCACCCAGAACAGAGCCACCUCCAGCUGCACUCAGCUCCAGAAGCUGGCCCAGCCGGUCCAGUACACCUUUUAAAUAAUGUCCUCUACGUGCCGGUGUGGAAGUAGCCCGGAUGCAAUUGAAUGAACAACAGACGGUGCUUUCCAGGACGGCGCUGUGCUUUCCAGGAUGGUGCUGUGCUUUCAUUCAUUUGGGUAGCUCCUCUGUGAGCCUCCCAGCGCCGACUGCAGAGCCCCCACUCUCCAGCCUGCAAGACCCCGAAAUUCAAGCCACACAAAGAAAGGAGGAGGGGGCCGUUGGCAUUUACUGAACCUUAUAAAACUGUCAGCAAAACAGCCCUUAGGCUUGGACUCCCUGCUAGCCGGGUUUUACGGUGCUGAAGUCAGCAUCUUGAUUCAGCUGCAUAAAUAAUCUCCUGCAGUCCUGCAAGGCCUGGGGUAGGAGAGGGUAUGGGGACCAGGGCACUCUGUAAGGGCUGGGAUAGGAACCCCAGGGAAUAAGACAGACCAACUGCGGGACUUCAGACUCCACUGCAGCCGGGAUCGGGUUGUUGUUAAUUUCUUAAGCAAUUUCUAAAUUCUGUAUUGACUCUCUCAUGCAUGUAACUGAUCCUUAGAUAUUGUCAGCCAAAUGACUAAAGGAUUUAGAAAUAAAAAAAA